AACGAACGCUGGCGGCAUGCCUAACACAUGCAAGUCGAACGAGACCUUCGGGUCUAGUGGCGCACGGGUGCGUAACGCGUGGGAACCUGCCCUUAGGUUCGGAAUAACUCCCCGAAAGGGGUGCUAAUACCGGAUAAUGUCUUCGGACCAAAGAUUUAUCGCCUUUGGAUGGGCCCGCGUUGGAUUAGCUAGUUGGUAGGGUAAAAGCCUACCAAGGCGACGAUCCAUAGCUGGUCUGAGAGGAUGAUCAGCCACACUGGGACUGAGACACGGCCCAGACUCCUACGGGAGGCAGCAGUGGGGAAUAUUGGACAAUGGGCGAAAGCCUGAUCCAGCAAUGCCGCGUGAGUGAUGAAGGCCUUAGAGUUGUAAAGCUCUUUUACCCGGGAUGAUAAUGACAGUACCGGGAGAAUAAGCACCGGCUAACUCCGUG
rnacentral:rRNA from 1 species